CCUCAUGCUAGCCACUUUACAUUGUUGUUUUGCUGGUGGUGGUCUAAAGAUUUCAUUUUUAUAGGCCCUCAAAGCCUAGGAAAAACUUGCUGCGCCACCGAACUAAAGAAGGUGCUGAGAAAACCCACAAGAUGUGCAGUUGCUGCCUGGCUUGAUUGGCCGUUUGUAGCUGUGUAAGAGCCUGCUUGAUGCUACCAUUGUGUGUAGAUUACAGAUCACUGUGCCUGAGCUGAGUCCGGUGGCUGUGGAGGAGAGAGCAGAGCACAUGGGUGGAGGUGAGUGGACCCACAAAGCCAUUGCCUGCCCAGGGCU
rnacentral:lncRNA from 1 species